rnacentral:rRNA from 1 species
GAUGAACGCUGGCGGCGUGCCUAAUACAUGCAAGUCGAGCGAACGGACGAGAAGCUUGCUUCUCUGAUGUUAGCGGCGGACGGGUGAGUAACACGUGGAUAACCUCCCUAUAAGACUGGGAUAACUUCGGGAAACCGGAGCUAAUACCGGAUAAUAUUUUGAACCGCAUGGUUCAAAAGUGAAAGACGGUCUUGAUGUCACUUAUAGAUGGAUCCGCGCUGCAUUAGCUAGUUGGUAAGGUAACGGCUUACCAAGGCAACGAUGCAUAGCCGACCUGAGAGAGUGAUCGGCCACACUGGAACUGAGACACGGUCCAGACGCCUACGGGAGGCAGCAGUAGGGAAUCUUCCGCAAUAGGCGAAAGCCUGACGGAGCAACGCCGCGUGAGUGAUGAAGGUCUUCGGAUCGUAAAACUCUGUUAUGAGGGAAGAACAUAUGUGUAAGUAACUGUGCACAUCGUGACGGUACCUAAUCAGAAAGCCACGGCUAACUACGUG